AGUGAACGCUGGCGGUAGGCCUAACACAUGCAAGUCGAACGGCAGCACAGUAAGAGCUUGCUCUUACGGGUGGCGAGUGGCGGACGGGUGAGGAAUACAUCGGAAUCUACUUUUUCGUGGGGGAUAACGUAGGGAAACUUACGCUAAUGCCGCAUACGACCUACGGGUGAAAGCAGGGGAUCUUCGGACCUUGCGCGAUUGAAUGAACCGAUGUCGGAUUAGCUAGUUGGCGGGGUAAAGGCCCACCAAGGCGACGAUCCGUAGCUGGUCUGAGAGGAUGAUCAGCCACACUGGAACUGAGACACGGUCCAGACUCCUACGGGAGGCAGCAGUGGGGAAUAUUGGACAAUGGGCGCAAGCCUGAUCCAGCCAUACCGCGUGGGUGAAGAAGGCCUUCGGGUUGUAAAGCCCUUUUGUUGGGAAAGAAAAGCAGCAGGUUAAUACCCCGCUGUUCUGACGGUACCCAAAGAAUAAGCACCGGCUAACUUCGUG
rnacentral:rRNA from 1 species